UACGAAGGGGGCUAGCGUUGCUCGGACUCACUGGGCGUAAAGGGUGCGUAGGCGGGUCUUUAAGUCAGAGGUGAAAGCCUGGAGCUCAACUCCAGAACUGCCUUUGAUACUGAGGAUCUCGAGUUCGGGAGAGGUGAGUGGAACUGCGAGUGUAGAGGUGAAAUUCGUAGAUAUUCGCAAGAACACCAGUGGCGAAGGCGGCUCACUGGCCCGAUACUGACGCUGAGGCACGAAAGCGUGGGGAGCAAACAGG
rnacentral:rRNA from 1 species